CUUAAUAAAUGAGUCUGCAGCUGGGAUACUCACUCCCAGUGCCUGAGUCAUUGGUGCUGCAUCAUCUCACCCCCUCCCCCAAGGGGUGUCUGAGCAGGGUCACCCGAAACACCAGAUGACCGACUCUAGCUUGUAUCAAGCUGACAAAAACCUAACCAGCACAGACAGCAAUAGAAUGGCUUUCCAGGAUCAUAUCCCAACUGCAUGCUUAGGUCGUGCUCAAGCAGGGCAGGCCUGUGCCAAUACCCCAAAAGGGAGUACUUCAUACACAUGACUCACCCUCUCUCUGGCCAGCCCCACAUGAGAAGACCAGCACACCCGCCAACAAGCUGCUUUCAGAGAUGGCCAUCAUUUCAGGGAAACCAAGGCAGCAGCUGGGGCAGCUGGUCACGGUGCAUCCUUGGUCAAGAGCGAAGAGAGACAAACGCAGCCUUGCUUGCUUGCUGCAUAGCUAGCUUCCUCCACUCUUCACAGCCUAGCUCGUGACAUGGUGCUGUCCAUGUCCAGGAGAAAGGUCCAGGAACCUGCUACUCCUCUAGCAUCCUACAUGGCAACUGCUCUCUACCUACACAUCAGAAUCCUCCUCAUCUCCGAGACCUGCCUAUCUUGUUGCCCUAUUGGCCACAGUGUUUCAUUCAUCAACAAAUAAAAUAAACAUAUUUACAGAAUGACAUCUCCCAUCAAACCUUCAUCAAGACUCUCCUCCUGGUGAUUCUCCAUUUUGUCAAGCUGACAGAACUAGUACACCUUCGUUCUUUGAAUCCAUUCGGCUGUCUUCAGCCCUGAACCACUCCAUGGCUCACUCCAUAAGGAGCUGCUAUUAGCAUCAACAACAGCACAAAGAAGGGAUGCUCAGAGACAAGGAGAACACAUGGGAAAAUGUGCAGAUGUACCGUGGAAGUGUGCUACGCAUCACUGCCUGUCAUUCCAUCACCACCUCACACCUCUAUCUUGUCUGUGAUGUAUCGAUGAACCCAGAACCACCAGCCCAAGGAUGGAAUUGUCUGCAGUGAACUGGGCCCUCCCGUAUCAACCAUCAAUCAAGAAACUGCCCUGCAGACUUGUCCACAAGCCAAUCCUAUGGAGACAUUUUCCCCAUCAAGAUGCUUUCUUCCCAAAUGUAUCUAGGUUUGUGUCAUGGUGACAAAAACAACCGGCACAUGUGGUGGGUGACUCUCAUUUUCAUCACAAACGCCUUAGAUCACUGGAACAAGCAGGAUACGCCCCCAUAUCUAGGAAGUUUGUGCUUGUGUUAAUCCCAACUUCGAGAACAAGACAACUACCACAAUUAGAGCCAAAUUUGAAGCAAACUUGAUUAUUUUUAUUGGGGUACACCCAAGAGCUGGCCAUCAACUGCCCCCUAAGUCGGGUUAAAGAGAGCAGUUCCAAAUCCAUCUCUUGUGUCCCUUUAGGAGUAAAAUCACAAGUACUUUUACAGAAGGGAGACAAUGGGGCAAUAAGGAAAUAAAAAAAACAUGAUUAAUGAGGGGUCAGGGAUGGUAAGGGUAUGCUCAAAAACAAAUCAAGGUCUAUGGGUUGGGGAAGGUCAGAUUCCAGGGACCAGAGAGCAACUUAACUCUCAUAGCAAAUAGAAAUGUAUUUUUAAAAAUACAGCAUAAUGGCUCCUGCCUUGAAAACGGAGUCAGGCGGGCUCCUCGAUUGCUGUGUGGAAUGAACCACAGGGCUCUGAGCUCCUCCCCAGAGAGCCUCAGCCAACAUAACAGCACCACCGCUGUGGGAUACAGUGAGACCUGCUCUAAGCCUCGACUGCCUGAGAUCUUUGGGGUUAGAUUGUGCUAAUGAUACCACUUCCCUCCCACCCCCACCGGCCAUCUUCUGUUUUCUGUUUGAGCUCAAACUAGUCUCAAACUCACUAAGUAGCCAAGAGUGACCUUGAACUGUUGGGGUUGCAGGCAUGACACCACACCCAGCUAAUUUUGCAAUCUUACUCCGAUAUAAUUCAUUCUCUACAAACCAACCACAGUAACCUUAAAUCACGAGUAAAAAUACUUCCAUCUCCUAAUUGAGUAAUUCAGUUUUUACUUCUGGCCAAGAUGGAGCAAGAGAGAUUAGAUUCUUUUCCUAAGCAAUAAGGAAAAGAAAAACAAAGCAACAACAAAUGUGUAUUUCCAAACAGGUACUAUGUAACUUGUCCCGACAGAAGGUAUCUGGGAAGAUGAGCCUGUGAAUGCUUGAGUUCACUGCCUGAAGGCGGUUUCCGGUCCAAAUUUCUAACACAGCUGGGAGGCAGAGUCCAGGUGAAGAGUAAAUGGGCAAGGGCUGCGCAGGGCUGCAGAGGGAUCCCAGAGAGCAAGGGCUACGAAGGGGCUGCAGAGGAUCCUGUCAGGUCCCCAGCUAAGGUGUGAGCUGUCCACUUGGAGGAGAAUCUUCUCCCCAAGAUGGGUAAAAUCUGCCUGUAAGUCACAGUCAGAACAACUCAUGGGUCUGAGAGGAGCUCGCCUUCCUACUACCCAGACUAAAAGAGACCUCAGAAUACACCAGGGCUUGGGAAGAGACCACGAAAGACAGCCACUUAAUAGUGAAAAAGCCAUAGCUGAAAGGCUGGACACACUUCAACAAAGCUUAAAGUGAGCCCCAGAAUAAGCCAAAGGAUCGCAAGUGUUGCUUUUAAAUGUGCAGCGCAACGGAGUCUAACAUUCAUCGAAAAAAAAAAAAAAAAAAA